rnacentral:rRNA from 1 species
CAGUAGCCGCGGGAAUACAGAGGGUGCGAGCGUUAAUCGGAUUUACUGGGCGUAAAGCGUGCGUAGGCGGCUUCUUAAGUCGGAUGUGAAAUCCCUGAGCUUAACUUAGGAAUUGCAUUCGAUACUGGGAAGCUAGAGUAUGGGAGAGGAUGGUAGAAUUCCAGGUGUAGCGGUGAAAUGCGUAGAGAUCUGGAGGAAUACCGAUGGCGAAGGCAGCCAUCUGGCCUAAUACUGACGCUGAGGUACGAAAGCAUGUGGAGCAAACAGGAUUAGAUACCCCUGUAGUCCCUGUCUCUUAUAC